GUGAUAAUAGCUCAGUGGUAGAGCGCAUGCUUAGCAUGCAUGAGGUCCUGGGUUCUAGCCUCAAUAUCUCC
rnacentral:tRNA from 1 species